AGCAUAUAAUAAUCGUUUUAAUAUAUCAAAUGCAUAAUUAAUUAAAUACAUUUAUUAAAUAUUUUUCAUUUUUCAUAUGUAUAGAAUAAUCACAGAAAAAACUCCGCACUAAUUAUAUGCAAAAAUUGAGAUCCCAUGAAAUGAGUUAGUUGAGUUUAUAGUGUAGCUUUAUACAAUCUGAUGGUGUGAACAAAAAAUAUCAUAGACGUCAGGCUCGAAAGCUAUUCAUUUUAUUGAACCUGAUGUCUAUAACAUUUUCUGUUCAUUAAAUUAUUUAUAAGCUACAAGCUACAUCAUACGUGAAAACUCACAUUUCACCGGAAUCCAAUUUUCUAUACAAUUAAUGCAGGAUUCUUUUUAGCCCAGGCAGAAAAAUCAAGUUCGUAUCGUUAUAUAAGUGCUAUCUACAUUAAAAAAAAAAAAAUAUCAAUCACACAUAUGAGAUUAUAACUCACAAAAUACACGAGCUCACAUUUAAUGAGUUUGAUCAAAGAGCGAAUAGCUGCGUUAUAUAAACGUUUAUAAGCAUUCUAAAUAUAAGGACCCAACUAUGUUAAAUGUUAUUGACUCCGUAACAAACAAAGGUGUCAAAUAAACUAACUUUUUAUUAA